AACGCGAAGAACCUUACCUACCCUUGACAUCCUAGGAAUCCAGCAGAGACGUUGGAGUGCCUUCGGGAGCCUAGAGACAGGUGCUGCAUGGCUGUCGUCAGCUCGUGUCGUGAGAUGUUGGGUUAAGUCCCGUAACGAGCGCAACCCUUAUUCUUAGUUGCUAACAGGUUAAGCUGAGAACUCUAAGGAGACUGCCGGUGACAAGCCGGAGGAAGGUGGGGACGACGUCAAGUCAUCAUGGCCCUCACGGGUAGGGCUACACGCGUGCUACAAUGGACGGUACAAAGGGAAGCGAAGCCGCGAGGUGGAGCGAAUCCUAUAAAAGCCGUUCGUAGUCCGGAUUGGAGUCUGCAACUCGACUCCAUGAAGUUGGAAUCGCUAGUAAUCGUAGAUCAGAACGUUACGGUGAAUACGUUCCCGGGCCUUGUACACACCGUGUCGA
rnacentral:rRNA from 1 species